ACCCUCAGACGGCGACGCGCCUUCCGGCCUUCCCCUGCCGCCGCCUCCUCCCUCGCGACGCCUCCUCCCCCCGACGCUGCCUCCUCCGCCUCUCCCAGGCAGACGGCGACGUUGGCCCCUGCUCCGGACGGCCAGGCGCGGGUUUCCUCUCGAUCCAAUUGAGAUCCGGCGACUGCUCUCCCUGCGCGGAUCACACGAUCCUUUCUCGCGCUUCCACGCACCCACGAUCCUCUCUCGGUUCCUCCGCAACGCGGCCGCCAACUCGACGCCGCCGUCCUCGCCGCGGCGCGGAUCGACGCCGGAGUCCUCGCCGCGCCGCACCUCGCGGGUGCCGCCUCGGUUCGAUUCCGCUGCCCUCCGCCUUGGGUCGACGCCGCUGUCCACGCCUCCGCCGCGAGCCGCGGCUGCCGUUCUCGCCGACGCCGCAGUCGUCGCCUCGCCGCGCCGCGCCGCGCGGCCAACGACUCAGAUCGACCACGACGUGCUCGCCACGUCUAGGUCCAGCUCGUGUGGCCGCAGUUCGAUCGUGCCCUAUCCCUUUUCCAGGUUGUUUCACAGCUUCGAUCGUGCGCCGGUGUUGCAGUUCGUUCGCCGCUGCCUUGCCUGGUGUUCUUCAGCGGUACUGAGCCUCAGGGGGUGUGGGUGUUGACGUCGUGUCUGAUACCGAACACAGACAUGGAUCCGAAUGAUGGAAAGAUGGGGAGGUUGCCAUUUGGGGACAUCACAAAUAUCAGUGUACUCGGUGCACAAAACCUCCAUGGUAAUGAGCUAAAAAGGCAAAGGGAAAGGUUAUGUGCCAGUGGUUUGUCUCAGGAACAGAGGGAUGAAGGUAACAAGCGACGUCGAGAGGCAUAUGCAAAGAAAAAAAAUCAAAAACAAACGGGGGCUACAAGUAAUGCCACUCACCAGUCUAAACAAGGCCAUGUUGCAGAUGUGCUGAUGAUGAUUCUUGCAGGAGAUGGUAUAAGUAGAACUAAAACUUGAUAUUGUCUAAGUAAUUAGCAUCUCAGCUAUAUAUUUGACAGUAUGGAGAUGGCCACGCCGAGAGCAACACCCACUGCAUGAAGACCUCUUCCUUAUCCACUACACUAUCUCUCACCAUAAUCUUGCCGUGGGUUGUGCACCAGAAUUUUGUGGAAAUUAGGUGAAGCAUGGCUUCAAGGAGGCCCCAACGGAGGCGCAAACCCCCUCCGAACCCGACCGCGAAUUCUCCUUGCAGCUUCCGCCGUCCGCAGCCGCAGCCGCCGUGGUGUCCAUCCCUUCGAUGAGGUACAAACAACUCCACACCUCGUCGGUUUCGCCGGAGCCCGGAGGAUUUUAUUUUUGUUUUUUGGUUGGGAUGAUUAAUUCUCCGUGUUCGUGGUGGGUGAGGUUGCUAUAGGUUAAUUCUUUCCUAGAGAAGGUUGCUACUCAGAUUAGCAUGUUCUUCAUUAGACGAUUCUGUAUAGAUUUUCUGUAAAGAAUCUGCUUUCACUGUUUCAAGCCUGGACAUAGUUUACUGUUGAUACUUAUUCAUUACUUUCUUCAGCAGUGCUUUUCUAAAUAACUUCUAAAGUCUACAGGAAAGUACUUGUGCUUUCUUUGAGCAUCUAAAAAUGUGCAUUCCAAAUAGCCUCAAGAAGUGAAAGUGUUCCUCAUGUCAGUUUUCUAGGAUUUAAUAGAUUUUUCUAGCAGAAAUAUCAUAUUGUUUGUGCCAUGUUGCAUCUCUCUGCUACCUGCAACGUGUUAAAAAAAGUUAAAACACCAUGCAUUUAUCAGUAAAUUAUUGUUUCAGGAAAGGAUAAGAUACAUUUAUUGGGUUUUGGGUAUAAUGUUUCUUCAACCAUGAUUACUUGCAGGUUAAAUUUGAUCGCUUAUAAAAUGAAUCUCGACUCCAAGAUCAUGAUGUUCUUGCUGCUAUUGUUCCAUGAUGUGUGUGUUAAUUUAAUACGAUAAUUAUUAGUCCAUUGUUCAUGCUGUUAUUGUUCCAUGACUCCAAGAAAUAAAUUAACUAUGGACCGAUGCAUACUACAGUAUAGCAAGAUCCUCACCAUAAUUAUUAGUCCAUUGUUAAGUAGGAAGCAGGUGCCUGCAGCCUAACAUUGACACGGUUCCUGUAAAACAUAAUUUGCAAUCUGUCCUCUUGCAUAUGAAUUUGAACUUAUAUAGAAAAUAUGGCUUUUGCAGUAAUUUGUGUCCUGUUUGGAUAAGGUCUGACAGCUUCCUUCUUCUCUUUGCCAGAACAGUUUGGAUUUAAGAUGUUCUUUGGUGUGACUGACUGCAACUAUAAUGGUUCAGUAGCCCUGUGUUCAUGACUCAGAUUUAAAUUACAUUACAUUACUAUGCGCCGAAAACACUUCAAAUCAUACCUGUGCGUAUCCAGAUGAAGAAACAUUAUAGAUAAAUAGCAUUAUAACCUUACAGGCAAGCAACCAAAUAACCAAUUCAUGAUUUGGGAUAUAAGAUAUCUCCCAUUGUCUCGGCUUGAUGGUCUGAUGGUCUGAUUUGUACACUGGGUCUUGAGGCAUGGAAGGGACUAUCAGACCAUCAAGCCGACUUAGAACAGCUUGAACAGCUUGUCUCUGCUUGUAGGUCAGAUUUGGAUAUCACUUCUGAAUUUAGAUUUUAUCACUUCACUUCUGAAUUUGUAUUUCUCUUUCAAUUAAGUACAGUGCGGGCAGAAACACAAUUGAUCUUAAAUGGCUGAUUUCAUGUGGUCGGUGGAGAUGGAAACCAUUUCUACUCCAAAUCAAUUGGACACUACGCAUUGGUGAUGGAAGCCUCUAGCAAACAUCACUGCCCAGCACCAGUUGCUUCGCUGUUCUGUGGUGGCUUGAAGGAUGUUUGCCGGUUAUCUCUGCCCGAGGGCCCUGCACUAACAUUGCUAAUCAUGCCGCGAUGUCAACUCCACCUAACACAAGGAGAGCUGCAUAUCAUUGCAUUAAGAAGAGGAAAAAGGCCAAAAUAGCCAAAGUACAUAUAUGCAUAUUCUUCCUUCCGGUUUUCAAGUGAAAACAUAUUCUUACUAAAAUUAAGAUUCUAAAUGUCUGGGUGCAUCCAAUAGAUGUUGCUCGUCUAGGGAGGCAUCGGCCACAAUGCCUGAGAAGCACCUCUAGGAUAUGAUUGCAUCAGCCACAAGUGUUGACUCAAAAUCGCCUAAUUGAGGACAACUGACCAUGAGGGGCUCACGGCUGAGGUAUUAGGUUGGAGCAGACAAUAUCAUCUUGGAACAAAUGGCCUGUCUAGCAUUGUACCCAGCACCAAGAGUCUCGACACGGAGAUUUUGUCCCUCGACCUUCAAUGGGCUCUGAUUAUAAGUCUAGAAAAUUUGGAGAUUUUAUUUUGCUUGCAGAUGCAGUGUUUAUAAAAGACGGGCGUCGUGGCGCUUGUUAAUGGACAAGUUCUAUACAUACAAGGAAUAUUCAUGAUGAUCUGAUUGUUUCCAGAUCGUAGCAUUAAGUAGUCUAAGUUGUUACUUGGCAUAAAAGUCAAUGAACAUGGUGACAAGAGAAUAUACUGAUUUUUUUAUUGCCUAA